AACUGGCUUGCACCGUUCACUCUUCUUCUUGUUUUUUUAUGGGAACUUUAAUAGAAGCACAAGUGUAUGAAAAAAACGUAAAAUAGGGAGCAGAGGCUAGAAUACCCCUUGUGUAAUAGGAACCAGGUUCUCUCUACGGUACCUCUUGGCAGAUAAACCAGGUUCUCACUUAGAUACCCCCGGCGCGAUGCGUGCCCUCAAAAUUCUAGCCAGGUCCGUCACCGUGUGGAUGCGAACCCGGGUUGCCUGUUUCAAAGGCUAGCCGAAUAACCACCCUAGCUGGGUCUUGUCCCCUCCC
rnacentral:lncRNA from 1 species